rnacentral:rRNA from 1 species
UACGUAGGGUGCAAGCGUUUGUCCGGAAUUAUUGGGCGUAAAGAGCUCGUAGGCGGCUUGUCGCGUCGGCUGUGAAAACCUGGGGCUCAACCCCGGGCCUGCAGCCGAUACGGGCAGCUAGAAUUCGGUAGGGGAGACUGGAAUUCCUGGUGUAGCGGUGAAAUGACGCAGAUAUCAGGAGGAACACCGGUGGCGAAGGCGGGUCUCUGGGCCGAAAUUGACGCUGAGGAGCGAAAGCGUGGGGAGCGAACAGG